UUGAGAAUAGUCAAUGACAGAGCAGUCACUACUCGCCAACUCCGACGGAUCAUGCGCAAGCAUAAAAAAGAGAUGUUGGAGGUGAAGGCUUCAAUUCAAUCAUUGAGUCUAGCAAUGUAGACCAUUGAGGACCGUAUCAUUGCUCAAAUUCUUGACGACCUUAAAUCACAAGGCGGUCCAUCUCACGGUGCUGGUCUAUAGCACGAUGAUGCUGAUGAUGGACAGCAUCAUGAACCUAGUGUUGACAUUGACGAUGACGUUCUUGGUGCUGACGGAGAGCACGUAACUCAUAUCAAUGAUGUCGUCGAUGCAUCUGUUGGAGGGGACGGGGAGCCUGACUCAGUCGUGGCUAAAAGAAAGCAUCUUCUUUCGAUCGAUGCAUUCGUCGACACAACAGCAGGAGCUAUUCUUCUUUAUAGUGGGAGCACUUCUGAUGCAAUUAAGAUACGGUCAUCGUCACCAGAGUCAUUUGCUGUCCAUCAUGGUGCAGCAAAAAUUUCAGACCCAACUGAGCGAGCACGGUUGAAAAUGGCGAGCAAAUACAUGGCAAGCCCGUUCGUCGACCCCUUAGUGACCCGUCGAGAUGUGAGGGAUAAAAUCGUAGAAGAGUACGAAGCUUUCAACAAAGACGAGUCCGCGAGGUCAGCUCGUAAAUAACAUUGCAAAUAUUGUUUUUUAAUGAAACAUUAAUCCACCAAGACUUAUGAAAUUCAUUAUGUUACAUAUACAAGCGUAACGUCGACAUCUUAGGGGAUCAAGGGGCUGACUUUUUCAUAACCUUAGAGGAUCCCAAUGAGGAAAUGACAAGUGAACAUAUCGACGCUUGCCCUCAGCCUAUUCUGCAAGCGAAUGACAAGGUCAAAGUUAAAGUUGUACACUACCCGUGCAUGCGUGGUUGACACGAUAUUCUUCGAAACCAUCUAAAUGCUACACAUGAAAUUUCCAAUAGAAGAUGCUCGGGCCACAAUGCAAAUUCAAGAUGAGUUGCGGGGGUAUGUGGAGGGUGAAAGGCCAACAUACACCAAAAAAUGGGAAGAUGUGGAUUUCAUCCUCGCGCCUUGCAACGUUGGUGGGCAUUGGGUGGUUGCGAAGAUCGACUUGAUGAGGUGGACGAUCAAGGUGCUAGACUCCGCAAGAACUUCAGAUGCUAAGGAUAACGGAGUUCUUGUGGGUCAGAUGACACCCUUGACGACAAUGAUGCCAUUCAUCUGCCACCAAGCUGGUUAUUUCAACAACAUACGUUAGAAGAGACGAGAUUUGACGCCAAUGCCAUUGGAUAUUUAUUUACCAAAAGCUAAAGUGCAUCGGCAAAAUGAUAGUGUUAGCUGCGGUAUGUUCAUGAUAGGGUACAUGGACCAUAUUUUGCAAUCAGAAAAGAUCUGAGUUAAGCAGAAUAUGAUUGCAAAAAUGCGUCGGCAAUACGCUCUAGAAAUAUUUUCCAACAAUUGUGAUAACGAACU